GACGAAGGGGGCUAGCGUUGUUCGGAAUUACUGGGCGUAAAGAGCGCGUAGGCGGUUUGAUAAGUUGGGAGUGAAAUCCCGAGGCUUAACCUCGGAACUGCUCUCAAAACUGUCGAUCUAGAGUGUAGUAGGGGAUGAUGGGAUUCCUAGUGUAGAGGUGAAAUUCUUAGAUAUUAGGAGGAACACCGGUGGCGAAGGCGGUCAUCUGGGCUACAACUGACGCUGAGGCGCGAAAGCGUGGGGAGCAAACAGG
rnacentral:rRNA from 1 species